rnacentral:rRNA from 1 species
AAAACGACUCUCGGCAACGGAUAUCUCGGCUCUCGCAUCGAUGAAGAACGUAGCGAAAUGCGAUACUUGGUGUGAAUUGCAGAAUCCCGUGAACCAUCGAGUCUUUGAACGCAAGUUGCGCCCCAAGCCUUCUGGCCGAGGGCACGUCUGCCUGGGUGUCACG